rnacentral:rRNA from 1 species
AGUACGGCGGAACACGAGAAAUUCCGUCGGAAUCCGCGGGGACCAUCCCGCAAGGCUAAAUACUCCCUAGUGACCGAUAGUGAACCAGUACCGUGAGGGAAAGGUGAAAAGCACCCCGGAAGGGGAGUGAAAUAGAUCCUGAAACCGUGUGCCUACAACAAGUCAAAGCUCGUUAAUGAGUGAUGGCGUGCCUUUUGUAGAAUGAACCGGCGAGUUACGAUUGCAUGCGAGGUUAAGUCGAAGAG